UUUAGGAGACAAGCAGCAGGACUGCAAUACCAAAUAUUGAAGUGUGUUUCACAAGAGCCGACAAGUGGCAAGGGUUGUUGCCUGCAUUAGGUUAACAGCUGAAAAAUCUGAAGAAAGACAGAGUUAGUUGGAGGACAGGAUUCAAAUCAAGCCAUUGUUAACAAUGCUUAUAGCAUCCUCAGAUGUAUUUUUACAGAAAGAAUUUAAAUCCACUUCCUAGAAAGGAUUACAACCAUUAGAUUUAAUUGAAACAAGGAUAACAAGCAAUAGAAGACUUCAUAAUCUGUGAGGAAGGAAUGAUGGGUGAUGCCCUGCCCCAGUGAAGGAGAAGUUAUACUGCCACAAUACAACAUCCCCUUACCAGAUUUUCAGCUUUCACUGGAUUCUGUGCCAACUUCUGUCAAUGACAGGCUGGAUCCAGCCCUGGCAUACACAGCUCUGCAGGUCCAGCAUGUGCAAAUGAGGGAGAGGCACCAGCCACCAUUGAGAAUGUGCCCUCAGGGAUACUGCCACCUUUGGCCAGCAUGCUCCACAUGCACUGCCUCCAACAGCGGCAGACACAAGACUGGACCCUGCUGCUGAACCAGCUGGUCACCAUGAUAGAGAAGUGGCUGGCAGACUCAUGGGCCUGGCACACC